rnacentral:rRNA from 1 species
AGUGAACGCUGGCGGUAUGCCUAACACAUGCAAGUCGAACGGCAGCACAGUAAGAGCUUGCUCUUACGGGUGGCGAGUGGCGGACGGGUGAGGAAUACAUCGGAAUCUACUUUUUCGUGGGGGAUAACGUAGGGAAACUUACGCUAAUACCGCAUACGACCUACGGGUGAAAGCAGUGGAUCUUCGGACCUUGCGCGAUUGAAUGAGCCGAUGUCGGAUUAGCUAGUUGGCAGGGUAAAGGCCCACCAAGGCGACGAUCCGUAGCUGGUCUGAGAGGAUGAUCAGCCACACUGGAACUGAGACACGGUCCAGACUCCUACGGGAGGCAGCAGUGGGGAAUAUUGGACAAUGGGCGCAAGCCUGAUCCAGCAAUACCGCGUGGGUGAAGAAGGCCUUCGGGUUGUAAAGCCCUUUUGUUGGGAAAGAAAAGCAGCAGGUUAAUACCCCGCUGUUCUGACGGUACCCAAAGAAUAAGCACCGGCUAACUUCGUG